ensembl:snoRNA SNORD33 Small nucleolar RNA Z195/SNORD33/SNORD32 family
GUGGUCUAUGAUGAUGCCUUUACCAGCUUUAAUCCGAGUGUCAUGACCAUGUGACACUACCAUCUGAGACCAG